UACAGAGGUCUCAAGCGUUGUUCGGAUUCAUUGGGCGUAAAGGGUGCGUAGGUGGCGCGCUAAGUCAGGUGUGAAAUUUCGGAGCUUAACUCCGAAACUGCAUUUGAUACUGGCGUGCUUGAGGACUGGAGAGGAGAAUGGAAUUCCUGGUGUAGCGGUGGAAUGCGCAGAUAUCAGGAGGAACACCGGUGGCGAAGGCGGGUCUCUGGGCCGACAUUGACGCUGAGGAGCGAAAGCGUGGGGAGCGAACAGG
rnacentral:rRNA from 1 species